rnacentral:misc_RNA from 1 species
AAUCAUCUUCUUUGUGCAUUUCAAAUGUAUGUUAUAUUCAUUGGUCUACAUAUGUAUCAUAAAAACAUAUAACAAGAUGUUUCACGUUUGAUGGUUGUGUUAACAAAAAUACUCUCAAUGUUAUACUUAAUUCCAUGCCUACGGGCUUAAUUUUUAAAAUUAAAAAAAAAAAGCAAAUUUUGUUAUUUCUAGAAAUUUAUAAUCAUAAUAUAAAAGAAGCUUUAUGUUUGAAAGUUUGGUGCUUAAAUGUUUAUGUUAUAAAUACUUCCAAGUCAUUUUGAUUGACAUAGUUAGUUUUUCUAUAAAAAAUUUAUUGGCACAUGCUACCCAUCAACUAGUACUUACAAGAGGGUGUAGACCUGAUAAAUCUGAAAAACCUGAAUCACAAGAUUUUACUAAAGAUGCAAACAAAUUACUUUUGAUAGUGUUGAUCACAGAUGGAAGUUGCAUGGUCUCAAUUAUGCACAAAUUAUUUGAGUAUUUAAUAGUGGUAACGGCAUGUAAUUCUUUAUUGUACCAUGCUUGGUAGGCUAGUACACACUUAUUUUAGGGUGGUUGCUUCUAGGCAAGCCUCUUAUCCCUAAGCUGUCAUUUAGGCACCUUAUUAAGUUGGCCCUUAAUUACAUGUUGAUGUUAUGGAUGUUCCAAAGUAUUAAAAAAAUUAUUUUUAUAAAUGAAUAAACAACAAAAUACACAAUUGGCAUGGGUUGGGUUGGGUAUAGAUCAAGAGUUUUUCUUGCCUGGACCAUAAUCCAUGCAAGAAUUUUCCAUGGAUCAGAUGGGUUUAGAAGUCGACAAGUUACUUCAAAAAUGAUUUAGCACUGGAUUUAACUCAUGACAAGAAUUGUUUAACCUAGUAAUUUAAAGAAAGGAAAAUUUUUGUAUUCUGAAAAUCGUAUCCUAUGUAUGGCUGUAUGCCACCAAACCAAAGACCACUGUGGCCUUCUUUGUCUCAUUUCAUAACCUGAGAGUAACCUGUUGUUUAAAAUCUACAAUUUUACAAGAAUUCAAUUCAAU